rnacentral:snoRNA from 14 species
CCCAGCGGUUGUCAGCUGUCCAGGCUUGUAUGAUGCCUGUGAUGGUGUUACACUGUUGGGAGAGCAAACACUGUCUACACUGGGUUUGGCUCCGAGCACUGUUCUGGUGUGUUGUGGGCAAGAACCCUUAGGCAGUGUUUUGUGCCUCUGAGAGUGGAAUGACUCCUCCUGUGGGGUUGGUCCUAGUCUGGGUACAAACAAU